rnacentral:misc_RNA from 1 species
GGAGGGAUCAUUAUAGAGUGUUAAAACUCCCUAAACCCGUGUGAACAAUACCUUUUGUUGCUUCGGCGAGUCGUCCCGGGCGCCGCUGCGUGCCCCGGAUCCAGGCGCUCGCCGGAGGACUCCAACUCUUGUUUUGCAAGUGGUAUCUCUGAGUGUACCAAACAAAUAAAUCAAAACUUUCAACAACGGAUCUCUUGGUUCUGGCAUCGAUGAAGAACGCAGCGAAAUGCGAUAAGUAAUGUGAAUUGCAGAAUUCAGUGAAUCAUCGAAUCUUUGAACGCACAUUGCGCCCGCCAGUAUUCUGGCGGGCAUGCCUGUCCGAGCGUCAUUUCAACCCUCGACCCCUCCUUCGCGGCGGGAUCGGUGUUGGGGAUCGCCUGUCCCUCGCGGCGGGCGCCCCCGAAAUCGAGUGGCGGUCUCGCUGUAGCCUCCUCUGUGUAGUAACAUAACACCUCGCAGGCGGAGAGCGGCGCGGCCACGCCGUAAAACCCCCGACUUCUCAAGGUUGACCUCGGAUCAGGUAGGAAUACCCGCUGAACUUAAGCAUAUCAAUAAGCGGAGGAAAAGAAACCAACAGGGAUUGCCCUAGUAACGGCGAGUGAAGCGGCAACAGCUCAAAUUUGAAAUCUGGCCCUAGGCCCGAGUUGUAAUUUGUAGAGGAUGUUUCUGGCGCGGCGCCUUCCGAGUUCCCUGGAACGGGACGCCAUAGAGGGUGAGAGCCCCGUACGGUUGUGUGCUAAGCCUCUGUGAAACUCCUUCGACGAGUCGAGUAGUUUGGGAAUGCUGCUCUAAAUGGGAGGUAUAUGUCUUCUAAAGCUAAAUAUUGGCCAGAGACCGAUAGCGCACAAGUAGAGUGAUCGAAAGAUGAAAAGCACUUUGAAAAGAGGGUUAAAUAGUACGUGAAAUUGUUGAAAGGGAAGCGCUCAUGACCAGACUUGGGCUCGGUUAAUCAUCCAGCGUUCUCGCUGGUGCACUUGGCCGGCUCAGGCCAGCAUCAGUUUGCCUCGGGGGAUAAAGGCUUCGGGAAUGUGGCUCCUUCGGGAGUGUUAUAGACCGUUGUGUAAUACCCUGGGGCGGACUGAGGUACGCGCAUUGCAAGGAUGCUGGCGUAAUGGUCAUCAGUGACCCGUCUUGAAACACGGACCAAGGAGUCGUCUUCGUAUGCGAGUGUUCGGGUGUCAAACCCCUACGCGUAAUGAAAGUGAACGCAGGUGAGAGCUUCGGCGCAUCAUCGACCGAUCCUGAUGUUCUCGGAUGGAUUUGAGUAAGAGCAUACGGGGCCGGACCCGAAAGAAGGUGAACUAUGCCUGUAUAGGGUGAAGCCAGAGGAAACUCUGGUGGAGGCUCGCAGCGGUUCUGACGUGCAAAUCGAUCGUCAAAUAUGGGCAUGGGGGCGAAAGACUAAUCGAACCUUCUAGUAGCUGGUUUCCGC